CUGACUGCUAUCGGAUUGAUACUAAGCCAUGCGAGUCAUUGUAGCAAUACAAGGCAGACGGCUCAGUAACGCGUAGUCAACCUAACCUAUGGACGGGAAUAACCUCGGGAAACUGAGAAUAAUGCCCGAUAGAACACUAUACCUGGAAUGGUUUGUGUUCCAAAUGAUUUAUCGCCGUGGGAUGGGACUGCGGCCUAUCAGUUUGUUGGUGAGGUAAUGGCCCACCAAGACUAUUACAGGUACGGGCUCUGAGAGGAGUAGCCCGGAGAUGGGUACUGAGACACGGACCCAGGCCCUAUGGGGCGCAGCAGGCGAGAAAACUUUGCAAUGUGCGAAAGCACGACAAGGUUAAUCCGAGUGAUUUGUGCUAAACGAAUCUUUUGUUAGUCCUAGAACCACUAACGAAUAAGGGGUGGGCAAGUUUUGGUGUCAGCCGCCGCGGUAAAACCAGCACCUCAAGUGGUCAGGAUGAUUAUUGGGCCUAAAGCAUCCGUAGCCGGCUCUGUAAGUUUUCGGUUAAAUCUGUACGCUUAACGUACAGGCUGCCGGGAAUACUGCAGAGCUAGGGAGUGGGAGAGGUAGACGGUACUCGGUAGGAAGGGGUAAAAUCCUUUGAUCUAUUGAUGACCACCUGUGGCGAAGGCGGUCUACCAGAACACGUCCGACGGUGAGGGAUGAAAGCUGGGGGAGCAAACCGGAUUAGAUACCCGGGUAGUCCCAGCUGUAAACUAUGCAAACUCAGUGAUGCAUUGACUUGUGGUCAAUGCAGUGCUGCAGGGAAGCCGUUAAGUUUGCCGCCUGGGAAGUACGUACGCAAGUAUGAAACUUAAAGGAAUUGGCGGGGGAGCACCACAAGGGGUGAAGCCUGCGGUUCAAUUGGAGUCAACGCCGGG
rnacentral:rRNA from 1 species